UAAGCGGAGGAAAAGAAACUAACAAGGAUUCCCCUAGUAGCGGCGAGCGAAGCGGGAAGAGCUCAAAUUUAUAAUCUGGCACCUUCGGUGUCCGAGUUGUAAUCUCUAGAAAUGUUUUCCGCGCUGGACCGCACACAAGUCUGUUGGAAUACAGCGGCAUAGUGGUGAGACCCCCGUAUAUGGUGCGGACGCCCAGCGCUUUGUGAUACAUUUUCGAAGAGUCGAGUUGUUUGGGAAUGCAGCUCAAAUUGGGUGGUAAAUUCCAUCUAAAGCUAAAUAUUGGCGAGAGACCGAUAGCGAACAAGUACCGUGAGGGAAAGAUGAAAAGCACUUUGGAAAGAGAGUUAACAGUACGUGAAAUUGUUGGAAGGGAAACGCUUGAAGUCAGACUUGCUUGCCGAGCAAUCGGUUUGCAGGCCAGCAUCAGUUUUCCGGGAUGGAUAAUGGUAGAGAGAAGGUAGCAGUUUCGGCUGUGUUAUAGCUCUCUGCUGGAUACAUCUUGGGGGACUGAGGAACGCAGUGUGCCUUUGGCGGGGGUUUCGACCUCUUCACACUUAGGAUGCUGGUGGAAUGGCUUUAAACGACCCGUCU
rnacentral:rRNA from 1 species